UAGUCCACGCCGUAAACGAUGAUCACUCGAUAUUGGGCUUAAGCUCAGUGUCCAAGCGAAAGUGUUAAGUGAUCCACCUGGGGGAGUACGCCCGCAAGGGUGAAACUCAAAGGAAUUGACGGGGGCCCGCACAAGCGGUGGAGCAUGUGGUUUAAUUCGAUGAUACGCGAGGAACCUUACCAAAGGCUUAAAAUGUAGAGCGACAGAGGUGGAAACACCUCCUUCUUCGGACGAUCUACAAGGUGCUGCAUGGUUGUCGUCAGCUCGUGCCGUGAGGUGUCGGGUUAAGUCCCAUAACGAGCGCAACCCCUAUCUCUAGUUGCCAGCGGAUAAUGCCGGGGACUCUAGAGAAACUGCCGGCGUAAGCCGCGAGGAAGGUGGGGAUGACGUCAAAUCAUCACGGCCCUUACGUCUUGGGCUACACACGUGCUACAAUGGCAAGGACAGUGAGACGCAAAACCGGGCGACGGGUAAGCUAAAUCUUCAAACCUUGUCUCAGUUCGGAUCGAAGUCUGC
rnacentral:rRNA from 1 species